AAAAGCUCCUAAGUUUAUCCACAGCAAUCCGUACCGCAAACCGACACAGGUGGGUGAGGAGACAAUCCUAAGGCGCUCGAGAGAACUCUGGCCAAGGAACUCGGCAAAAUAACCCCGUAACUUCGGAAGAAGGGGUGCUCUCUAGGGUGACAUGUUUAACAUAUGAAGCCCCGGGGAGCCGCAGUGAAUUGGUGGUGGCGACUGUUUACUAAAAACAUAGGUCUGUGCGAAGUCCUAAAGACGACGUAUACGGACUGACGCCUGCCCGGUGCUGGAAGGUUAAAAGGAGGGGUCAGCGCAAGCAAAGCUCCGAAUUGAAGCCCCAGUAAACGGCGGCCGUAACUAUAACGGUCCUAAGGUAGCGAAAUUCCUUGUCGGGUAAGUUCCGACCUGCACGAAUGGCGUAACGAUCUCCACACUGUCUCGGCCAGAGACUCGGUGAAAUUGCAGUCGCGGUGAAAAUUCCGUGUACCCGCAGAAAGACGGAAAGACCCUGUGCACCUUUACUAUAGCUUGACAUUGGAUUUUGGGCCUGCAUGUGUAGGAUAGGUGGGAGGCUGUGAACCCUGUACGCCAGUAUGGGGGGAGCCAUCCUUGAAAUACCACCCUUGCAUGUUUAAGAUCCUAACUUCUUCCGGUUAUCCCGGAGAAAGACAGUGUCUGGCGGGUAGUUUGACUGGGGCGGUCGCCUCCUAAAGUGUAACGGAGGCAUGCAAAGGUUCCCUCAGCCUGAUCGGAAACCAGGCGCUGAGUGCAAACGCAUAAGGGAGCUUGACUGUAAGAGAGACAUCUCGAACAGGAACGAAAGUUGGCGUUAGUGAUCCGGUGGUCCCGAAUGGAAGGGCCAUCGCUCAUUGGAUAAAAGGUACGCCGGGGAUAACAGGCUGAUCGCAUCCAAGAGUUCACAUCGACGAUGCGGUUUGGCACCUCGAUGUCGGCUCAUCACAUCC
rnacentral:rRNA from 1 species